rnacentral:rRNA from 1 species
AAACUGAGGAUAAUACUGGAUAGGCAAUUAUUCCUGCAAUGGUUUUUUGUUUAAAUGUUUUUUCGCCUAAGGAUGGGUCUGCGGCCGAUUAGGUAGUUGGUUAGGUAAUGGCUUACCAAGCCGUUGAUCGGUACGGGUUGUGAGAGCAAGAGCCCGGAGAUGGAACCUGAGACAAGGUUCCAGGCCCUACGGGGUGCAGCAGGCGCGAAACCUCCGCAAUGUGAGAAAUCGCGACGGGGGGAUCCCAAGUGCCAUUCUUAACGGGAUGGCUUUUCAUAGUGUAAAGAGCUUUUGGAAUAAGGGCUGGGCAAGACCGGUGCCAGCCGCCGCGGUAACACCGGCAGCUCUAGUGGUAGCAGUUUUUAUUGGGCCUAAAGCGUCCGUAGCCGGUUUAAUAAGUCUCUGGUGAAAUCCUGUAGCUUAACUGUGGGAAUAGCUGGAGAUACUAUUAGACUUGAGACCGGGAGAGGUUAGAGGUACUCCCAGGGUAGAGGUGAAAUUCUGUAAUCCUGCGAGGACCGCCUGUUGCGA